rnacentral:lncRNA from 10 species
CAUUUAUUGAGAAUAGAACACUCCCCAAACACUGGGGAUUCACAGUCGAUUAAGAUAUGGUCUGUGUGAGCAAGGCGUUUGGCCUAGCUGGAACAGCUAAGUACAGGAUGAUCAGUGCUUUGACGCAGGGUGUUGAUACAGUUUGAAUAUGGCCCCCUCCAAAUAUCAUGUUGAAUUGUAAUCCCCAGUGUUGGAGGUGGGGCCCGGUGGGAGAUGAUUGGGUCAUGGGGGCGGAUUUCUCUUGAGUGGUUUAGCAGAUUCCCGUUGGCGCUGUGCUCGAGAUGAGUGAGUUCUCAUGAGAUCUGGCCAUUGAAAAGUGUGAGGCAUCUCCCGGCACGCUCGCUGUCUCUUGGUCUCGUUCUCACCAUGUGAUGCGCCUGCUCCCCCUUUGCCUUCUGCCAUGAUUGGAAGUUUCCUGAGGCCUCCCUGGAAGCCUAUAUAUAUAAUCUAUAUGUAUAAUAUAGAUUAUACAUGUAUCAUCAUAUCUGUCCUAAUAUCUUUUUAUUCUCACUUAGCCUUUUUACAGUAACAUUUUCUCAUGUUAUUACAAGCUUUUUUGGAAACAAUAUUUUCACUGGCUGUGUAAUAUUUGCUCAUCUGAAAGUUUUACAAUUUAUUGUUUACUUAGCCAUUGCCCUCAUGUUGGCUAUUAGGUUCUUUCCAAUUUCUCUCAAUGAUGAUCAACUCUCUCAGGAAGAAUUUUAUGCAAUAAAAUUUUCCCUGUAUUUUGAACUAUUUUCUUAAGAUAACCUAGGCUGGGUGCAGUGGCUCACGCCUGUAAUCCCAGAACUUUAGGAGGCCGAGGUGGGUGGAUCAUGAAGUCAAGUGGUCGAGACCAUCCUGGUCAACAUGGUGAAACCCCAUCUCUACUAAAAAUACAAAACUUAGCCAGGUGUGACAGCGCGCGCCUGUAGUCCCAGCUACUCCAGAGGCUGAGGCAGGAGAAUUGCUUGAACCCAGGAAGUGGAGGCUGCAGUGAGCCGAGAUCGCGCCACUGCACUCCAGCCUGGGCAACAGAGCAAGACUCCAUCUCAAAACAAAACAAACAAACAAACAAAAAAACGAUAACCUUACAUUAGUGGAAUAACCGGGACAAACAGAAUGAAUGAGGGUCUUGAUAAAAUUAUCUUCCAAGUCAUCUGCAAAUUGUUACUCUCUCCAAAAAAAAUUGCAUUAAGAGUGCCAAGAUAUGAGUUUCUUAUGGAUGGAAUGAUUUGAGGCAAGUUACUUAACUUUCCUGAGCUUCAGCUUCCUCAUCUGUAAAAUGAAGAUGCUGACCUCAUCCAACUAUGACCCUUUAAAGAUGUAGCCUGUGGAAUGUGGCACAUGUUCUGGUAGACAGUCAGUGCUCAACCGAAAUAUAAGUGUCCUUCUCCCCUUCCCUUUCCUUCAUCCACUGUUAAGUAAAAAUGAAGCUCUGUUCAGCUUCAGGUUUCCUAGUAGCCACUCAUCUAGAUAAUGAUCAAAACAUCUUAACCACAAGGCGUCUCAAGUGGUUACUGUACAAAUAUAGACAGAAUCUCUUCUCUAUAAUUGGUUUAUAGAACCCUACUAGAUACUGUGUAAUCACAUUGAAAAUACAUGAUUUGGUGCAUCUGUUUACUGUGCUUCUGAACAGGGGUAAUGUUUUAUCUAUUUUGUCCAUUUUAUCCUUGUGCAAGUUAUUUACCAUCUCUGUUCUCAGUUUCCUCAUGACAAAAAUAAGGUUACUACCAGUCCUACCUUCUUUUUAUAGCUGAAUAUGAAAGUACUUCACUAACUACUGAGGUUUUGCUCGGAGACUAAAUACAUGCACGCUGAGCAGGUUAUAGGUACCACUGGCCGCAUGUCAGAUACAUAUGAAAGAAAAAAGGAAAGACGGAAUGAAUCUUUACCCAGAGCCUGCAUUUUACAGACAUUAAUUACACACAAGAUCCUGAGAGGUACUUCAUAGUUGCUCAGAUUUUACAUAGAC